rnacentral:lncRNA from 1 species
AUAACCAAGCCCACUACAUGUGAAUAUUUGAAUCGAACUCGUUGCUCGAGAAUCGUCGAUCGUCGGAUUAAACUACUGUAAUCACUCAGCUCUAGCUAGUCGCCGACUGACUCUUACCAUUUUCCAUCUUGGCUUUAGCCAGCCCUGAUCGGGAUCUAUCUAAUCAGUAGUCGGUUAGCAUCUCGCUCCGCUGAUCGUCGCAGCUCUGCCACAACCAUCAAAUGGAC